GAUGAACGCUGGCGGCGUGCCUAAUACAUGCAAGUCGAGCGAACAGACGAGGAGCUUGCUCCUCUGACGUUAGCGGCGGACGGGUGAGUAACACGUGGAUAACCUACCUAUAAGACUGGGAUAACUUCGGGAAACCGGAGCUAAUACCGGAUAAUAUAUUGAACCGCAUGGUUCAAUAGUGAAAGACGGUUUUGCUGUCACUUAUAGAUGUAUCCGCGCCGCAUUAGCUAGUUGGUAAGGUAACGGCUUACCAAGGCAACGAUGCGUAGCCGACCUGAGAGGGUGAUCGGCCACACUGGAACUGAGACACGGUCCAGACUCCUACGGGAGGCAGCAGUAGGGAAUCUUCCGCAAUGGGCGAAAGCCUGACGGAGCAACGCCGCGUGAGUGAUGAAGGUCUUCGGAUCGUAAAACUCUGUUAUUAGGGAAGAACAAAUGUGUAAGUAACUGUGCACGUCUUGACGGUACCUAAUCAGAAAGCCACGGCUAACUACGUG
rnacentral:rRNA from 1 species